AGAGUUUGAUCAUGGCUCAGGACGAACGCUGGCGGCGUGCCUAAUACAUGCAAGUCGAGCGGACCGAUGGGAGCUUGCUCCCUUAGGUCAGCGGCGGACGGGUGAGUAACACGUGGGUAACCUGCCUGUAAGACUGGGAUAACUCCGGGAAACCGGGGCUAAUACCGGAUGCUUGAUUGAACCGCAUGGUUCAAUCAUAAAAGGUGGCUUUUAGCUACCACUUUCAGAUGGACCCGCGGCGCAUUAGCUAGUUGGUGAGGUAACGGCUCACCAAGGCGACGAUGCGUAGCCGACCUGAGAGGGUGAUCGGCCACACUGGGACUGAGACACGGCCCAGACUCCUACGGGAGGCAGCAGUAGGGAAUCUUCCGCAAUGGACGAAAGUCUGACGGAGCAACGCCGCGUGAGUGAUGAAGGUUUUCGGAUCGUAAAACUCUGUUGUUAGGGAAGAACAAGUACCGUUCGAAUAGGGCGGUACCUUGACGGUACCUAACCAGAAAGCCACGGCUAACUACGUGCCAGCAGCCGCGGUAAUACGUAGGUGGCAAGCGUUGUCCGGAAUUAUUGGGCGUAAAGCGCGCGCAGGCGGUUUCUUAAGUCUGAUGUGAAAGCCCCCGGCUCAACCGGGGAGGGUCAUUGGAAACUGGGGAACUUGAGUGCAGAAGAGGAGAGUGGAAUUCCACGUGUAGCGGUGAGAUGCGUAGAGAUGUGGAGGAACACCAGUGGCGAAGGCGACUCUCUGGUCUGUAACUGACGCUGAGGCGCGAAAGCGUGGGGAGCGAACAGGAUUAGAUACCCUGGUAGUCCACGCCGUAAACGAUGAGUGCUAAGUGUUAGAGGGUUUCCGCCCUUUAGUGCUGCAGCAGACGCAUUAAGCACUCCGCCUGGGGAGUACGGUCGCAAGACUGAAACUCAAAGGAAUUGACGGGGGCCCGCACAAGCGGUGGAGCAUGUGGUUUAAUUCGAAGCAACGCGAAGAACCUUACCAGGUCUUGACAUCCUCUGACAACCCUAGAGAUAGGGCUUCCCCUUCGGGGGCAGAGUGACAGGUGGUGCAUGGUUGUCGUCAGCUCGUGUCGUGAGAAGUAGGGUUAAGUCCCGCAAGGAGGGCAACCCUUGAUCU
rnacentral:rRNA from 1 species